rnacentral:lncRNA from 1 species
AUUGUUAAUUGAAGUUUCAGUGAAUGCAUAAAAAUGAAAUUACUAUAUAAAAACAUUGACAGGACAUUUUAUAUGAACAGGGGCAUUCAUUGCAUGUUCUAUCUUAGAACGCCGGUGUUAUGUCUAAAAAUAGAAUUUUUCAAGAAAGCGUCUGUCAGUACCGUGAAUACGUCAUCAACAAGCGUCUCAAGUUUGGCGGAAACAGGAAACUGGAAGGAUAAUCCGGAAUAAUGUGUUAUGAAGUCACAUCUUGAGCAGGUGCAAUUGGCUGCUUAUUCAAACAAUGAAACUGUCUGAUAGCUCUACAUAAAGCGUAUAACGAACAAAAGUUGAAACAAAGUUUGAUCGGAAUAAGAAGGGCAUAUGUCAUUUCCAGACUCCUAAAGUGAUCACUGAGGUUGUUAAAGAACAGGACUUUGAGGUCAUAUUGGAGGUAAAAGAAAACACUCCUCCAAAAUUAGUGAUAUUUACCAGAAAUGACAAAGCAGAGACAGCCUAUUUAGUAGGAAAUUGUACUGCCACUAGGUGCAAUAGGGAGAGUACAGUGUUAUUUGCAGUUCAGUUAUUUGCAACAUUCUGUGUUUUCGACAUUGAAUAUCAUUCUUAAGCAAUGUCUUUAGGAUUCUUGCAGCAAUUUGUAUUUGAAGAACAGUAUACAAAUGAAAGUUAAGAAAAUCAUUUUUUUCUGUGAGAAGUAUAGAACAGUAUUUAAAUAAAUGAGUUACAUGGUUAAGGUGUUGGGAGGAUAAUAAAAUUAGCAGUCACUCCUUCUGAAAUAUCAUUCUGGUUUGUAUUUUGCUGAAAUCAAAUGCAGCAGUUCAAGAUAGAGAAUAGUUUUCAGUAUUAAAUGCUAAUACCACUGGUCUCUUCUGAGCUGCAGCAGAUAGAUUGACAUUUUUCAAAUGAUAUUACUGGGUUUUUCAAAAUAAUGUUUUUGGUACUGAGCAGGGACAUAUUUUACAAAAUGGACAAGUUUAUUGUUACCGAACAAGUUGAUUGACAUUCUCAAAAUGUUACUAUUAGUUCUGAGCAGACAUGUGGGUAUUUUCUAAAUGCAAUUGGGACUGAGCAGGUUUUUAACAUUUUACAAAUGAAAUUGUAUAUAUAUAAUAUUGCAUAUUACAGUAAUUCAUAAAUAAAUGUGUACUUUCUUAUGUUCUGAGCUGUAUGCAAGAAUAAAAUAAUAGUAUAUCUUUCUAUAUUAUUGUAUAAGUCUGUCAAGGUUAUGUCUGGUUGAAAUGCUGGUUUUGUGCCACUGAUGAAAUAAUUUUGUAACUAGUAUUUCCAACCUUACCUGAUUUAUUUGCUUUGGGAAAAAGUCAUAGUCAUGUGCCAGUGUCUUUUUGUUAAAAAAAAUAUUCUGAAUUUUUCUUAAGUACCAUUUUAUCUUUGAAACUUGGAUUUUGACCAUCGUCUAUUUGCAGGAGUACAAAAUUCUGUCAAUAUUUUUUUCAUUAUGGUAAUUUUUUACACAGUUUCAAAAAAUUUUGGGACAGGGAACACUUUUACAGGAAAUUAUGUUCAAAGCAUAAUAUCUUCUUUUAUGUUUUUAUGACAGUUUUUUUUUUCAGGUAUGUUUAAAAUACAACGAAAGAACAAUAUACAUGUACAUAAAAAGCUUGUAAAAUUGUCAGGUUAAGUAGUUGCACAUGAUGUUGGUAGUUUUUCUUCAAAAUGUUUUUUUGAAAUAAAGUUUUUUUUUCAGCAGUAAAUGUUAUUAUGUAUAACAAAUAUCCCUUACAAAAACAUGUCUCUUAUCCAGUGUUCAAAACUGAAUGCAGUAUGUUCAACUAAUGCUCAUAUUCUUAACGUCCAUGUCUUUGAACAUGUUCUAGGCGUUCAAUAUCUGUUGCAUUGGAAUUGAACACGUCCGGAGUUAAACAAAAGAACACCUGGGUGUUCACAGACUGUUCAUUUACGGAACUGUAGGUGUUACCAAUCUGAACACUAACAUUAAAAAAUAGAACAUGUCUGGUGUUAAAAAAGAACACCUGGCUGUUCAUAAGGUGUUCCACAACAGAACAGCUAACUGUUCACCGGGCGUUCUUUCUUUGAGCAGCUAGUGUUAAAAAUUUGAACACUAGUAUUAGGAUUUUGAACGCAAAGACGCGUUCAAUAUCUGUUGCAAAUUGGCGUUCAAAGCGUGUUCAGUUCCUUAACACUUACAUUUACAGUG